rnacentral:rRNA from 1 species
CGCGUGAGCAAUCUGCCUUUGGAUGGGGGAUAACAGCCGGAAACGACUGCUAAUACCGCAUGAUGCAGCGGGGUCGCAUGAUUUUGCUGCCAAAGAUUUAUCGUCCAAAGAUGAGCUCGCGUCUGAUUAGCCAGUUGGCGGGGUAACGGCCCACCAAAGCGACGAUCAGUAGCCGGACUGAGAGGUUGAACGGCCACAUUGGGACUGAGACACGGCCCAGACUCCUACGGAAGGCAGCAG